rnacentral:rRNA from 1 species
GUCCACGCCUUAAACGAUGAGAACUAGACGUUGAGAGGGUUAGCCUCCCAGUGUCGAAGCUAACGCGAUAAGUUCUCCGCCUGGGGAGGUACGGCCGCAAGGUUGAAACUCAAAGGAAAUUGACGGGGACCCGGCCACAAGCGGUGGAGCAUGUGGUUUAAUUUCGAUGCAACGCGAAGAACCUUACCUGGCCUUGACAUCUGUCGAAUCCUGCAGAGAUGCGGGAGUGCCUUCGGGAACGGACAAGACAGGUGCUGCAUGGCUGUCGU